GGGCUUCCUGAAGGUAAUACCCGGGUAUUAGGUUAUGGGGCUAGGUAAGGUUUAAGGUUUUUGGCGUUAGGGUUAAAAUCACUGUCCAAAACCUUUGUAGGAACUCUUUUCCAACCUUUUGGAGUUGGUUACACCAACAAAAAUGUAAAAUGAAAAACAAAUAUUUGGGGUGUUCGGGCUUCCUGAAGGUAAUACCCGGGAAUUAGGUUAUGGGGCUAGGGUAAGUUUUAAGGUUUUUGGCGUUAGGGUUAAAAUCACUGUCCAAAACCUUUGUAGGAACUCUUUUCCAACCUUUUGGAGUUAGUUAGACCAAAAAAAAAAGAAAAAUGAAAAAAAAAUAUUUGGGGUGUUCAGGCUUCCUAAAAGUAAUAUCCAGGUAUUAGGUUAUGGGGCUAUGGUAAGGUUUAAGGUUUUUGGCGUUAGGGUUAAAAUCACUGUCCAAAACCUUUGUAGGAACUCUUUUCCAACCUUUUGGAGUUAGUUAGACCAAAAAAAAUGAAAAAUGAAAAAAAAAUAUUUGGGGUGUUCGGGCUUCCUUAAUGUAAUACCCGGGUAUUAGGUUAUGGGGCUAUGGUAAGGUUUAAGGUUUUUGGCGUUAGGGUUAAAAUCACUGUCCAAAACCUUUGUAGGAACUCUUUUCCAACCUUUUGGAGUUAGUUAGACCAAAAAAAUGAAA